rnacentral:rRNA from 1 species
AGUGAACGCUGGCGGUAGGCCUAACGCAUGCAAGUCGAACGGCAGCACAGUAAGAGCUUGCUCUUACGGGUGGCGAGUGGCGGACGGGUGAGGAAUACAUCGGAAUCUACUUUUUCGUGGGGGAUAACGUAGGGAAACUUACGCUAAUACCGCAUACGACCUACGGGUGAAAGCAGGGGAUCUUCGGACCUUGUGCGAUUGAAUGAGCCGAUGUCGGAUUAGCUAGUUGGCGGGGUAAAGGCCCACCAAGGCGACGAUCCGUAGCUGGUCUGAGAGGAUGAUCAGCCACACUGGAACUGAGACACGGUCCAGACUCCUACGGGAGGCAGCAGUGGGGAAUAUUGGACAAUGGGCGCAAGCCUGAUCCAGCCAUACCGCGUGGGUGAAGAAGGCCUUCGGGUUGUAAAGCCCUUUUGUUGGGAAAGAAAAGCAGCAGGUUAAUACCCCGCUGUUCUGACGGUACCCAAAGAAUAAGCACCGGCUAACUUCGUG